rnacentral:rRNA from 1 species
UAUCGUUUAUUUGAUAGUACCUUUACCUGGAUAACCGUGGUAAUUCUAGAGCUAAUACAUGCUAAAAACCCCGACUUCGGGAGGGGUGUAUUUAUUAGAUAAAAAACCAAUGCCCUCUGGGCUCCUUGGUGAUUCAUAAUAACUUAACGAAUCGCAUGGCCUUGCGCCGGCGAUGGUUCAUUCAAAUUUCUGCCCUAUCAACUUUCGAUUGUAAGAUAGAGGCUUACAAUGGUCUUAACGGGUAACGGGGAAUUAGGGUUCUAUUCCGGAGAGGGAGCCUGAGAAACGGCUACCACAUCCAAGGAAGGCAGCAGGCGCGCAAAUUACCCAAUGCUAAUUCAGCGAGGUAGUGACAAUAAAUACUGAUACGGGGCUCUUUCGGGUCUCGUAAUUGGAAUGAGUACAAUCUAAAUCCCUUAACGAGGAACAAUUGGAGGGCAAGUCUGGUGCCAGCAGCCGCGGUAAUUCCAGCUCCAAUAGCGUAUAUUAAAGUUGUUGCCGUUAAAAAGCUCGUAGUUGAACCUUGGACCUGGCUGAUCUGUCCUCCUAAUCGAGCGCACGGAUUCGGUCGGGUCUUUCCUUCUGGGGAGCCCUAUGCCCUUCACUGGGUGUAGUGGGGAA